ACUCCUACGGGAGGCAGCAGUGGGGAAUAUUGCACAAUGGGCGCAAGCCUGAUGCAGCCAUGCCGCGUGUGUGAAGAAGGCCUUCGGGUUGUAAAAGCACUUUCAGUCGUGAGGAAGGUAGUUGUAGUUAAUAGCCGCAUUAUUUGACGUUGCACAAGAAAAGCGACGCUAAACUUCCGUGCCAGNAAGCCCGGGUAAUACGGAGGGUGCGAGCGUUAAUCGGAAUUACUGGGCGUAAAAGCGCAUGCAGGUGGUUUGUUAAAGUCAGAUGUGAAAAGCCCGGGGGCUCAAACCUCGGAAAUUGCAUUUGAAAACUGGCAGACUAGAGUACUGUAGAGGGGGGUAGAAAUUUGCAGGUGUAGCGGUGAAAAUGCGU
rnacentral:rRNA from 1 species